GCACAGAAUGUAUUUAGGUGUUCAUGCUGCUGUCUGUUUUCUGGUGUUCCAGCUGCCUUUUAAGUCUUUAUUUUUCCUGCAUGUUCAAGAUGAAUUUGUAAUAUUUUUCUAGAGGAAACUGAACAUGACUAAUCUGGGUCCUCUGCCCUGGAUCUCCACAGCAGCAAUCUGUAUCAAUCAGAGUUACAGAAUCAGAAUCUCAAGGAGAUCAGCCUUGGACUCUACAUUAAGAAGAAGUUCUCCAGCGAUGCUUAUGCGUAGUCAGGUUUGGUCAUCACUGUCAGGUUUCAGUGUUCAUGGAGCAGACUUGGAGUGUAUAGACAUGUCCCAGAGUCCACAAAUUGGGUUGUGGGAUGCACAAAGAUACAUAGUAGAUGCUCAAUAAUAAUUGAGAAUCAUGUCCAUGUUCUGUUUUGGAUCAAAAAGAAAAUAUAUCUGUUGCAGUGAAACGCCAGGACACCUGCACCCCGAUGUUUAUAGCAGCAAUGUCCACAGUAGCCAAACUGUGGAGGGAGCCUCAGUGUCCACUGAAA